UACGGGGGGGGGCAAGCGUUGUUCGGAAUUACUGGGCGUAAAGGGCGCGUAGGCGGCCUGCUAAGUCACACGUGAAAUCCCUCGGCUCAACCGGGGGAACUGCGUGUGAUACUGGCGGGCUUGAAUUCGGGAGAGGGAUGUGGAAUUCCAGGUGUAGCGGUGAAAUGCGUAGAUAUCUGGAGGAACACCGGUGGCGAAGGCGGCAUCCUGGACCGAGAUUGACGCUGAGGCGCGAAAGCUA
rnacentral:rRNA from 1 species